rnacentral:lncRNA from 1 species
GCUUCAUUAGGUACAGUCUUCAGCUGGUUGUUCUGUAGGGUUAGAACUUUGAGUUCUUUCAACCCAGACAAGGCCUUCGGAUGGAUAAAAGAAAGGUCAUUGCCAGCCAGUCGCAGCUCUUCCAAGUAGGGAAAGUUCUUGAAUGCAUCCUCUGGUAGCCUGGUGAUGUUGUUCAUGCUGACAUCCAGAGCCUGCGUGAAGGCGCUGAGCCCCGGCGGCACGGCGGCCAGCCCCCGCCCGGAGCAGUCUACUCCUCGGUCCCCGUCGCAGCUGCAGGAGGCCGGGCAGGGCGGGGGGGAGGCCCCGCCGCUGGGCCCGGCCGAGCUGCCCAGGCCCCAGGCGACGAGGCCGAGCAGCGCGAGGCACCGCAUCGCCGGGCCCCGCACCGCUCCGCGGCACGGCCCCGUCGGGAAAUAAAAUAAAAUAAUAAUAAUAAAAAAAAGACGAUAAAAAAAUACAAAAAAUAAAGAAGAGCACCGCGGAGACGGACAAAAAACCCUCCCGAGCCCGGCGCCGCCCCGUCCGGCGCCCUGCCCCGCCGCUCCUCAGCGCCGCAGGUAGGGCGCGGGGGCGGCCAUGGCCAGCCGACCGCGGGGCGGACGCUGAGCGCGGCACGGAGCGGAGCGCGGCGCAGCUUAGCGCCCCCGCCCCUCCCGGCCUGUCCCUGCGAGCGGCGGCUGCAGCAGCUCCGCGCCCAGCGCCG